GAUGAACGCUAGCGGGAGGCCUAACACAUGCAAGCCGAGCGGUAUUUGUUCUUCGGAACAGAGAGAGCGGCGCACGGGUGCGGAACACGUGUGCAACCUGCCUUUCUCUGGGGGAUAGCCUUUCGAAAGGAAGAUUAAUACCCCAUAAUAUAUUGAGUGGCAUCAUUUGAUAUUGAAAACUCCGGUGGAUAGAGAUGGGCACGCGCAAGAUUAGAUAGUUGGUGAGGUAACGGCUCACCAAGUCAAUGAUCUUUAGGGGGCCUGAGAGGGUGAUCCCCCACACUGGUACUGAGACACGGACCAGACUCCUACGGGAGGCAGCAGUGAGGAAUAUUGGACAAUGGGUUAGCGCCUGAUCCAGCCAUCCCGCGUGAAGGACGACGGCCCUAUGGGUUGUAAACUUCUUUUGUAUAGGGAUAAACCUACUCUCGUGAGAGUAGCUGAAGGUACUAUACGAAUAAGCACCGGCUAACUCCGUG
rnacentral:rRNA from 1 species